rnacentral:misc_RNA from 1 species
UGAUACAUCACUUACAAUUUUAAAGAAAAGUAACAAGAAAAUGAUAUAACAAAGAAAAGGAUGUUUGGCAGCUUAAAGAGCUGGUUCAGAUGGUUAUCAGACAAUACUAAAAUACAAAAUGAACUUAAAACUAAUCUUAGAAAUUAACUCAAUCAGUGGUCAAGCAAAAUUUACCAAAACAUAAACUCUAACAGUAGCCUUACUAUUCACAGAUGAAGUACUAUAUAGUUUCCCAAACACCUCCUAAAGUUGUUGAAAUUUUAUUUUAUUUUGUUUUAUUUUAUUUUUUAUGGUUGAAUUUAAA